ACUAAGCGUACACGGUGGAUGCCCUGGCAGUCAGAGGCGAUGAAGGACGUGCUAAUCUGCGAUAAGCGUCGGUGAGGUGAUAUGAACCGUUAUAACCGGCGAUUUCCGAAUGGGGAAACCCAGUGUGUUUCGACACACUAUCAUUAACUGAAUCCAUAGGUUAAUGAGGCGAACCGGGGGAACUGAAACAUCUAAGUACCCCGAGGAAAAGAAAUCAACCGAGAUUCCCCCAGUAGCGGCGAGCGAACGGGGAGGAGCCCAGAGCCUGAAUCAGUGUGUGUGUUAGUGGAAGCGUCUGGAAAGGCGUGCGAUACAGGGUGACAGCCCCGUACACAAAAAUGCACAUGUUGUGAGCUCGAUGAGUAGGGCGGGACACGUGGUAUCCUGUCUGAAUAUGGGGGGACCAUCCUCCAAGGCUAAAUACUCCUGACUGACCGAUAGUGAACCAGUACCGUGAGGGAAAGGCGAAAAGAACCCCGGCGAGGGGAGUGAAAAAGAACCUGAAACCGUGUACGUACAAGCAGUGGGAGCCUCUUAAUGGGGUGACUGCGUACCUUUUGUAUAAUGGGUCAGCGACUUAUAUUCUGUAGCAAGGUUAACCGAAUAGGGGAGCCGAAGGGAAACCGAGUCUUAACUGGGCGUUAAGUUGCAGGGUAUAGACCCGAAACCCGGUGAUCUAGCCAUGGGCAGGUUGAAGGUUGGGUAACACUAACUGGAGGACCGAACCGACUAAUGUUGAAAAAUUAGCGGAUGACUUGUGGCUGGGGGUGAAAGGCCAAUCAAACCGGGAGAUAGCUGGUUCUCCCCGAAAGCUAUUUAGGUAGCGCCUCGUGAAUUCAUCUCCGGGGGUAGAGCACUGUUUCGGCAAGGGGGUCAUCCCGACUUACCAACCCGAUGCAAACUGCGAAUACCGGAGAAUGUUAUCACGGGAGACACACGGCGGGUGCUAACGUCCGUCGUGAAGAGGGAAACAACCCAGACCGCCAGCUAAGGUCCCAAAGUCAUGGUUAAGUGGGAAACGAUGUGGGAAGGCCCAGACAGCCAGGAUGUUGGCUUAGAAGCAGCCAUCAUUUAAAGAAAGCGUAAUAGCUCACUGGUCGAGUCGGCCUGCGCGGAAGAUGUAACGGGGCUAAACCAUGCACCGAAGCUGCGGCAGCGACGCUUAUGUGUUGUUGGGUAGGGGAGCGUUCUGUAAGCCUGUGAAGGUGUGCUGUGAGGGUUGCUGGAGGUAUCAGAAGUGCGAAUGCUGACAUAAGUAACGAUAAAGCGGGUGAAAAGCCCGCUCGCCGGAAGACCAAGGGUUCCUGUCCAACGUUAAUCGGGGCAGGGUGAGUCGACCCCUAAGGCGAGGCCGAAAGGCGUAGUCGAUGGGAAACAGGUUAAUAUUCCUGUACUUGGUGUUACUGCGAAGGGGGGACGGAGAAGGCUAUGUUGGCCGGGCGACGGUUGUCCCGGUUUAAGCGUGUAGGCUGGUUUUCCAGGCAAAUCCGGAAAAUCAAGGCUGAGGCGUGAUGACGAGGCACUACGGUGCUGAAGCAACAAAUGCCCUGCUUCCAGGAAAAGCCUCUAAGCAUCAGGUAACAUCAAAUCGUACCCCAAACCGACACAGGUGGUCAGGUAGAGAAUACCAAGGCGCUUGAGAGAACUCGGGUGAAGGAACUAGGCAAAAUGGUGCCGUAACUUCGGGAGAAGGCACGCUGAUAUGUAGGUGAAGCGACUUGCUCGUGGAGCUGAAAUCAGUCGAAGAUACCAGCUGGCUGCAACUGUUUAUUAAAAACACAGCACUGUGCAAACACGAAAGUGGACGUAUACGGUGUGACGCCUGCCCGGUGCCGGAAGGUUAAUUGAUGGGGUUAGCGGCAACGCGAAGCUCUUGAUCGAAGCCCCGGUAAACGGCGGCCGUAACUAUAACGGUCCUAAGGUAGCGAAAUUCCUUGUCGGGUAAGUUCCGACCUGCACGAAUGGCGUAAUGAUGGCCAGGCUGUCUCCACCCGAGACUCAGUGAAAUUGAACUCGCUGUGAAGAUGCAGUGUACCCGCGGCAAGACGGAAAGACCCCGUGAACCUUUACUAUAGCUUGACACUGAACAUUGAGCCUUGAUGUGUAGGAUAGGUGGGAGGCUUUGAAGUGUGGACGCCAGUCUGCAUGGAGCCGACCUUGAAAUACCACCCUUUAAUGUUUGAUGUUCUAACGUUGGCCCGUAAUCCGGGUUGCGGACAGUGUCUGGUGGGUAGUUUGACUGGGGCGGUCUCCUCCUAAAGAGUAACGGAGGAGCACGAAGGUUGGCUAAUCCUGGUCGGACAUCAGGAGGUUAGUGCAAUGGCAUAAGCCAGCUUGACUGCGAGCGUGACGGCGCGAGCAGGUGCGAAAGCAGGUCAUAGUGAUCCGGUGGUUCUGAAUGGAAGGGCCAUCGCUCAACGGAUAAAAGGUACUCCGGGGAUAACAGGCUGAUACCGCCCAAGAGUUCAUAUCGACGGCGGUGUUUGGCACCUCGAUGUCGGCUCAUCACAUCCUGGGGCUGAAGUAGGUCCCAAGGGUAUGGCUGUUCGCCAUUUAAAGUGGUACGCGAGCUGGGUUUAGAACGUCGUGAGACAGUUCGGUCCCUAUCUGCCGUGGGCGCUGGAGAACUGAGGGGGGCUGCUCCUAGUACGAGAGGACCGGAGUGGACGCAUCACUGGUGUUCGGGUUGUCAUGCCAAUGGCACUGCCCGGUAGCUAAAUGCGGAAGAGAUAAGUGCUGAAAGCAUCUAAGCACGAAACUUGCCCCGAGAUGAGUUCUCCCUGAGUCUUUGAGUGUCCUGAAGGAACGUUGAAGACGACGACGUUGAUAGGCCGGGUGUGUAAGCGCAGCGAUGCGUUGAGCUAACCGGUACUAAUGAACCGUGAGGCUUAACC
rnacentral:rRNA from 1 species